AAGUCGUAACAAGGUUUCCGUAGGUGAACCUGCGGAAGGAUCAUUUCCAAAAAAAAAAGAAUUUGAAAACAAUUAUAUACACCGUCGUUGGUGUGUGAAGUGUGUGGUGGUAUCCAAAACAUUUUAAUUUACUCUCUCUGACAACAUGGUCAUCGCGUAUGCCAAGUUUGGAAGAGAGAGGCCUUGAUGAACCACAUCCGCAAAUGUAUUGGCGUUUGUUUGUCUAAACAAACAACACUAUACAUCAUCGGACGUUAACAUUAUACUGUCUCGAUAUAUUUCUACUCGGAUUUGCACUUGUUGCCCUAAGGCACCAGGUCAAAACCAACAACACAAAAGUACCAAUAUACAGACAACUUUUAACGGUGGAUCUCUUGGCUCGU
rnacentral:misc_RNA from 1 species